UCGGGAAUUUUGGGCAAUGGGCGAAAGCCUGACCCAGCAACGCCGCGUGAAGGAUGAAGUAUUUCGGUAUGUAAACUUCGUAAGAAUAGGAAGAAUAAAUGACGGUACUAUUUGUAAGGUCCGGCUAACUACGUGCCAGCAGCCGCGGUAAUACGUAGGGACCAAGCGUUGUUCGGAUUUACUGGGCGUAAAGGGCGCGUAGGCGGUGUGUCAAGUCAGUUGUGAAAUCUCCGAGCUUAACUCGGAACGGUCAACUGAUACUGUCACACUAGAGUACAGAAGGGGCAAUCGGAAUUCUUGGUGUAGCGGUGAAAUGCGUAGAUAUCAAGAGGAACACCUGAGGCGAAGGCGGGUUGCUGGGCUGAUACUGACGCUGAGGCGCGAAAGCUAGGGUAGCAAACAGGAUUAGAUACCCUCGUAGUCCCUGAGCGGGCUGGCAAGGCGCAU
rnacentral:rRNA from 1 species